rnacentral:rRNA from 1 species
GUUUACGGCCAUGCCACCCUGAAUGUGCCCGAUCUUGUCUGAUCUCAGAAGCUUAGCAGGGUCGGGCCUGGUUAGUACUUGGAUGGGAGAUCACCUAGGAAGACCAGGUGCUGUAGGUG